GCACAGCUGUGUGACUGGCGGUAAACGUGGAGCACCACGAGGAAGCACGGCUGAGAAAAUUGUCGACCGCCUGGGCAUAUUAC
rnacentral:ncRNA from 2 species